GGGGGACUUUACGGUCUACAUGCGCCCGCGUCAACAGUUGAGACAUACGAUCACCGUGUGCAGAUAGCAUCGGACUUUUAAUCCGCGGGUCGUGGGUUCGAGCCCCACGGGGCCCA
rnacentral:tRNA from 1 species